rnacentral:lncRNA from 1 species
GGAACCAGAUCUUGAUCUGGCGCUCGGACAGGCAGAGUGCGUGGGCGAUCUCGAUGCGCCGUCGCCGGGUCAGGUUGCUUGUCUGGAGAUGGAGCCACUACAGGCGGGCCUGGGCGCCUGGAGUCGGGCAUGAAAGAAAAUAGCGCCUCAUCGCUCUUAUCUAAGCCCAGAGGUAGACUUCGCUUGAAAAGAUCGAGAAUGGAGGAGGGGAUCGGCACUCACUUGCAGACAUCAACAGUUUCCAGAAAAUUCGGUUCAAUUCCUUCACCACGGACCCACCAACCAAGGAGCUGGCAAAACCCACUAACCAACCAGGAGAACACAGACCCGGUUUGUCUUUUGACAACCGAGUGGAACUGACGGGGCCGGCGCCUGCCCUGCGGGUCCCCUCCCUUGGCUGAGAAGAAAACCAAAUAAACCUUGAACAGCCUUGGC